rnacentral:rRNA from 1 species
AGGGUGUAAACGCUGCAGACUUGGUGUUGGAAGUCCUUUGGGGGCAUUCAGUGCCGGAGAGAAGUUGUUAAGUCUGCUACUUGGGGAGUACGUCCGCAAGGAUGAAACUUAAAGGAAUUGGCGGGGGAGCACCACAACAGGUGGAGCCUGCGGUUUAAUUGGAUUCAACGCCGGACAUCUCACCGGAUAAGACAGCUGAAUGAUGGCCAGGUUGAUGACCUUGCUUGACAAGCUGAGAGGUGGUGCAUGGCGUGUGACUGU